AUUGACAGUGUGUUUAAUUUUAAAUUUUAAUGAAAAAAAAGUUAAUUUCACUUAAUAAAAACUGUGAUAUGAACUCAAAAACUGCAAUUGAUUAACCAUUAUUUAAACUGAAUAAAUACUGAAUAACUGAAUCCCUCACACACACCGAAAAAAACCCGCGCUUUUAUUUUGACACGCGCCCAUCCCCCCACAUCUCACGGUCGGAGUCAGUUUCACAGAGCAGCGCAGGAGGACGACAGACACAUAAAGAACAUUAACAGUUUAGUUUGAAUCUCUCUCAGUCAGUCAGAGGGAGAUUAACUGACAGACUGUAUAACGUUACACGUCUUACCAAGAAACCAUUAAAAGUUUAGCACAAAUGUUUCCCGUGGAAGUUUGAAUCUCUCUCAGUCAGGGGGGAGAUUGACUGACAGACUGUCUACUUGCCACCAAACAGUAAUUUACCCUGAAACCUUUUUAAGUAAGGACUAACGUAAACUGACUCUCUGUCUUCUCUCAACCAAACAGUCAUUUAAGACCUUCUAAAGCUUAGCGCAAACGUUUCCUGCGCAAGUUUGAAUCUCUCAGUCAGGGGGGAGAUUGACUGACUGACUGACUGUCUACUCGCCACCAAACGUCAAAAGUCAGUUACACAGAAUCCUUUUAAAGUUUAGCACAAACGUUUCCCGCGCAAGUUUGGAUCUUUACCAUUGAGGGUGGCUGACUGUUCUCGACCAACCAUCAUUCACACGCAAAAACUUUAAAGAUAAGUAUGAACGUGCCCAGAGCAGUUUUCGAUCUUUACCAUUAAGGAGGCUGACUGACUAUCGUCUACCACCCGUCAUUAACACAACAAAAACUAAAGAAAUGUUACUCCAUAUGGACCUAUUCAUUUACUCAUUAUGCUGUGAGUACACCACAGUUUUAUCAGGGAAAAAAAUUAUGUUUGUGUGUUUCUCACUGCUUGACAAGGACAGAUGUGGCCCUGUUAAAAAUGUUUAAAUGUCGUUUGGUUUAAGGAACAGCACACUGAUUUUGUUUUAAAAUAUUCCUGUUUGGACAGUCUGUUAAAGCCAUAAAGGAAUACUUGAUAUAUUUCAUAAGUAAAGUGUAAAUGUAAUAUUAGUUUUUAAUGUUGUGAAUUUGGACUGAACAGCACACUUCUGUUUUAUAUCUAAACCUUUUGUAAAAUAAAUGAUUGUUCAAUAAACUGUGUAUUUUA